GUGAGGACUUGCACGUAAAUAAGAUUUUGAGUAUAUGAAUAUGAAGGUGGGCAAUCAACAAAGUCGACCGAGCGGAGCUCUCACGAAAAGUUGCAUUAUCCGUUGAACAAUUUUUCGUAUAGGCCUACCUGUUAUCGGCUUCAGAUUCACGUAUAUUUCGAUUUCGUUUGAGAGAAAGUAUGUUUCACAAUCAUGCAGACAAAAUGGUGUUAGUAACACUUACAUAUACAUUCUUAGCAAAAAUAUGCAUGUUGGGAUCUAAUGGUAGAUGUUGUAUUCUAGAGUAAGUUGUUGCUGUGGUUUGUGUCUGGACUGAAAACCAAAGAUUAAAAAUUGUACUUGAAAUCAUUACUAUUAAAAACAUUUAAUCUUUUUCAGAUGGUUCAGAUCCCAACCGAUGGCGCUCAUUGGAGGGCAUUAUGAACCGUAUGGUAUCCUGCAUUGUGCAGUUCAAGUGAGAGUUUCCUUUUGACGUUCAGGAAUAAAGGUCAACUGAAGAAUCAUUUCCUUUUUGAUAUUUGCUUCAAUAGCUACAGACAAUAUGGCAUAAAAUUAUGAUUGCAUGCUGCGUUUUAAUAUUAGAAAGGGUGCAUCGUAACGCUGUUAGAGAGCUGCUUAAAUAUGGUAGUCCACUGCACUAUGUACUUUUUACUGACUUGGAUAGUGAUAGUGGACCACUAUAUAUAGUCUGGUUUUGUUUAUGUGGUAUUGGUUUGACUAUAAAGUGCUUUGUUCAAUGUUUGUGCCUGACGGUGACCUCCUAAACGAAAACAAAAGUUUCAUUCAAAAGCCAAUACAUGCUUCCGGAAAGUACGUCACUUGGUCGGCCAUGCAUGAAAACGAGGCUCUAUGGCUAAAAUGGCGUACUUUUCGGAAGGGUGUAAUGAUGUGACGCAACUGAUCGAGAUCACAGAAACCGUUUAAAAGUGUUCUUGUUUGACAGUAAGGUAUUUCAUGGCACGUCAAAGUAUGUCAUAAUUAUUAGGGUGGUGCUCAUCCUCAAUUUUAUAAGUACAUGCAUUGUUGCAUGUCAUGAUACCAUAUAUCUGACCGUAUCAGUUUCGAUCAGGGUUAGCUUAGAUUGUAUAAUGGUGACUCGAGAAUUACUUUUGUAGUUAUAACGCCUAUAAAAAUACUACAUCGCUUAUAAAAAUGGUCACGUUAUAUUAUAUUUACUUCUAGAACAAAACUGACAUUUUUUGCAUUUUGUUCUAUUGUCUUUUGUAGUCCAAAAUCAACCAUGGAAAGAUUAAAAAGAGUAGCGAGGUUUUAUGGCAGUAUUUUGAUUAGGUUUACGUUUGUUUUACUUUCAGAACCACGAUCAUGAAGUAUGUUAAUGAAAACCUGUAGCUGCGUAGGCCAGUCUGAUUUAGGAGCUGUAUACAUGGUCCCGUUUUGGCGGGAUAGGAUCAGAGUUGGGAUGAUGAUUUUGAUCAAUUGAAAUAAGUCACUACCUAUAUUGUUGUUUAAAUUGCCUUUUGCUUUCAGUGACUUUACAAUCUGCACUAUGUCUAUAAAAGUAAGCGAAAUUUUGUUGAAUACUGAAUCAUUGGACCUAUUUGAACACGUCAAAAUCAUCCCACCUUUCAGCCCGUUCCAACAAAGCGGGGCCACCAUUAUAUACAAUAUGUAUGCAUAGAACGCAUUGCGUCAAUCGACACAAUACUAUCUUCCUGUUCAUGGACCAAACCCCAAGUCGCGUUGACUAAUACAGUACGUUGAGAGCUCUUAAACAAGCGAUGUUUUUUGUCAACAUUGGAGUCACAUAUAUACUAUAUAUAUAUAGUAAUUAGUAAAGUUAUCAAAUCACGUUCGCUCGCGAGAUGCAGUUAUUGAUUUCUAACACUGCAUGAUCAAACAAAGAAUCGCUGACACCAUAAUUAACGACCAAAUUAUGUAUGCGCAACGUCCGUGUUGUCAAAAACCUUUGUCAGUAUUAGUGAAUACCAAACCCAACGUUAACGGAUGAAGCUGUAUACAUAUACCGGGAUUUUGCACUCACUGAUUGAACAUGCAUUGCGUCAAUGAACACAAUGGACUACAAUAAUACGUGUUCUAGAGUAAAUGUAUUUAUCAUAAAUUAGAGGAAGAAAAUUUGUUGUUUGUGAAUGAUUUGAAAUAUUAAAUCAUUUUAAAAAGGACCUAACCCGCGUACACAAAAAAUUAGGCGAUAGAGAUGACGAAAGUCGUUGUUAUUUUAAGUAAUGAAACCACGUUAUCUGCA